rnacentral:snRNA from 1 species
UCUAGGCUCAGAAGGAGUUUAG